rnacentral:rRNA from 1 species
GACGAACGCUGGCGGCGUGCCUAAUACAUGCAAGUCGAGCGAACGGACGCGAAGCUUGCUUCUCUGAUGUUAGCGGCGGACGGGUGAGUAACACGUGUAUACUCCACCUAUAAGACUGGGAUAUCUUCGGGAAUCCGGAUCUAACACCGGAUAAGCUUCUGAACCGUAUGGUUCAAAGGUGAAAUACGGUCUUGCUGUCUCUUAUCGCUGCUUCUCCGCUGCAUUCGCUAGUUGUUACGGUAACGGCCUACGAAGGCAACGAUGCAUAGACGACCUGAGAGGGUGAUCGGCCACACUGGAACUGAGACACGGUCCAGACUCCUACGAGAGGCAGCAGUAGGGAAUCGGCCGCAAUGGGCGAAAGCCUGACGGAGCAACACCGCGUGAGUGAUGAAGGUCUUCGGAUCGUAAAACUCUGUUAUUAGGGAAGAACAUAUGUGUAAGUAACUGUGCACAUCUUGACGGUACCUAAUCAGAAAGCCACGGCUAACUACGUG